rnacentral:rRNA from 1 species
AUUGAACGCUGGCGGCAGGCCUAACACAUGCAAGUCGAGCGAGCGGCGGACGGGUGAGUAAUGUAUGGGGACUGCCCGAUAGAGGGGGAUAACUACUGGAAACGGUGGCUAAUACCGCAUCGUAUCGGAUAACCCAUAUGGGAUUAGCUAGUUGGUGGGGUAAAGGCUCACCAAGGCGACGAUCUCUAGCUGGUCUGCGAGGAUGAUCAGCCACACUGGGACUGAGACACGGUCCAGACUCCUACGGAGGCAGCAGUGGGGAAUAUUGCACAAUGGGCGCAAUCCUGAUGCAGCCAUGCCGCGUGUAUGAAGAAGGCCUUAGGGUUGGAAAGUACUUUCAGCGGGGAGGGGUUACCCGCAGAAGAAGCACCGGCUAACUCCGUGCCAGCAGCCGCGGUAAUUC